GGGAAAUGCUUUGAAUCGACUCAGGGCACCGAAGCCGCCAUAACAGCACAAUGAAAGACACUCCAGAGCUACUGCAGAAAGAGAGGACAAGGGCAGAGGGAAUACUUUGAAACUCAUUCUGGGAGUUCAGGAUCACAUUAAUACCAAAACCAGAUGAAGAUAUUAUAAGAAAAGAAAACUUCAGAUCAAUAUCCCUCAUGAAUGCAGACACAGAAAUCCUCAACAUGUUUACGAAUUGAGUCUAACAAAGUACCGAAAUAUGCAGCACCAUCAAGUGGGAUUUAUUCCAGAUAGGUUCUCACCACCUCUCCCAGGCUGACCU